rnacentral:rRNA from 1 species
GACGAACGCUGGCGGCGUGCCUAAUACAUGCAAGUAGAACGCUGAAGGAGGAGCUUGCUCUUCUGGAUGAGUUGCGAACGGGUGAGUAACGCGUAGGUAACCUGCCUGGUAGCGGGGGAUAACUAUUGGAAACGAUAGCUAAUACCGCAUAAGAGUAGAUGUUGCAUGACAUUUACUUAAAAGGUGCAAUUGCAUCACUACCAGAUGGACCUGCGUUGUAUUAGCUAGUUGGUGGGGUAACGGCUUACCAAGGCGACGAUACAUAGCCGACCUGAGAGGGGGGUCGGCCACACUGGGACUGGGACACGGCCCAGACUCCUACGGGAAGCAGCAGUAGGGAAUCUUCGGGAAUGGACGGAAGUCUUACCGAGCAACGCCGCGUGAGUGAAGAAGGUUUUCGGAUCGUAAAGCUCUGUUGUAAGGGAAGAACGAGUGUGGGAGUGGAAAGUUCACACUGUGACGGUAUCUUACCAGAAAGAGACGGCUAACUACGUG